AUAUUCUGUGCAAAAAUAGAGGAGCCAGCAAUACCAUCAGGUUAUACAUAUACCCAUAGAUUCAAGAAGCCUUUUAAAUUAUAAGAAACAUUGGGUUGAUGCAUCUUCAUUUAAAUAUCCAUAUAUUUCUUGAUAUGAAAAUUAUGUUAUCUUGAUAUAAAUCAAUAUAAUCAUGGUGGCAUCUUAUGUUAUCGUACAGAUUUCACACUAGACAUGAAAUACCCCUUUUGAACAAUUAUGAAACAACAGAAUAACAAGGACAAGCAUAUGACCCUUCAUGGGCAAAAAUAUUCG
rnacentral:lncRNA from 1 species